CUUGCCAUGAUUAAUUAGAAUUCAUUUUUCUCAGCAACCAAAUAGAUAGAUUAGUGAAUGAUCAAAGCCCAAAAACCAAAAAACCAAGUGUCUAAAGAAGUAGCAGCCAGACAAAAUCCAUGCAUGCAUGGUACGAGGUAUACGCACCAGUCAUAGACGGUAGGAGAGUUAGGUUGUGGCUUGUCGAAAACUUCAGAACCUAUACUUUUGGUGGCGAGGUUGCUACCCGGAUGGAACACACUCCUCCACACGUUCUCCUUACGCGCCGUCGGAGUCGUCGGUGUCACGGGUGUCGGACCUGACACUGGACUAUUC
rnacentral:lncRNA from 1 species